GACGAACGCUGGCGGCGUGCCUAAUACAUGCAAGUCGAGCGGAUGACGGAGGAGCUUGCUCCUCCUGAUUCAGCGGCGGACGGGUGAGUAACACGUGGGCAACCUGCCCUGUAGAUUGGGAUAACUCCGGGAAACCGGGGCUAAUACCGAAUAAUCCUUCGGACCUCAUGGUCCGAUGUUGAAAGACGGCAUCUCGCUGUCACUACAGGAUGGGCCCGCGGCGCAUUAGCUAGUUGGUGAGGUAACGGCUCACCAAGGCCACGCUGCGUAGCCGAGCUGAGAGGGUGAUCGGCCACAGUGGGACUGAGACACGGUCCAGACUCCUACGGGAGGCAGCAGUAGGGAAUCUUCCACAAUGGACGAAAGUCUGAUGGAGCAAAGCCGCGUGAGUGAAGAAGGUUCUCGGAUCGUAAAACUCUGUUGUGAGGGAAGAACAAGUACCGGAGUAACUGCCGGUGCCUUGACGGUACCUCAUUAGAAAGCCACGGCUAACUACGUGCCAGCAGCCGCGGUAAAAC
rnacentral:rRNA from 1 species